GCAUCUGUAGCCUAGUUGGUCAAGGAAGCAAUCUUGUAUGUGACUCAGCAUUGCUGAGGUUGUGAGUUCGAAUCUCACUAGACACA
rnacentral:tRNA from 1 species